GUGUUGUUUGGAAGGAGAGCAAGUUAGCACUCCCCUAGACAAGGAUGGAACACAUAAACGAAUGGCGGGGCACAAGACGAAGCCAUUCACAAGUUUUU